rnacentral:lncRNA from 1 species
ACUUGAAAUUUAUGCAUGUAAGUGUAAAUAUAUCCACAUGUUCUAUAUCUUUUUAAAGGAAAGGAAAUGUGUGAGUGAGCCCCUGAAUGGGUCCUGAGUUAAAAGGAACAUUAUUGGUUUAUAUUUAUGAGAGCCAAGAGCAUACACACAUCCCUAACUAACCUAUAAUUCAAGUUCCAAGAGUUUUUAACCCUCAAUAUGUGAAAUUAUGUUGCCCACACAUCCUUUUCAGUUGAACAAAAUUUGUGACGAAAAACCGCAGCCAACUUGUAAUAAAUCUGGGUCCAUUUUAGUUUUGGAUAAUUUUGGCUACCUUGCAUGAAGUAUUCCAUCAACAAGAUGAAAAUGAGAAUGAGAAUGAAGAAAAAAAUGGAAAAGCAAGUGUGGAUGUUACAAAGGGGAAACACGAUACAUGUUGAGUAUCCCUUAUCUGAAAUGAUUGGAACUGAAAGUGUUUUAGAUUUUGGAAUUUUUUCAGAUUUCAGGACAUUUGCACAUACUUAAUAUGAGAUCUUGGGGAGGGAAGCCAAGUUUAAACAUGAAAUUUAUUUUUGUUUGAUAUAUACCCUAUACACAUAAGAGGAAUAUGUUUGACACACACCUUAUACACACAUAAGAAGAAUAUGUGUAUAAGGUGUGUGUCAAACAUAAAUGAAUUUAAAAUAUGCCAUAAAUACACAAACAUAAUAUACAAGCAUAAAUGAAUUUUAAAAUAUACAAUGUUUUAAAAUAAUUUUG